rnacentral:rRNA from 1 species
AUGUUAUAUGUGGCGCCAAGGUGGCGGUGCCUGCUAGCCGUAGCCAUGGCCAUCGCCGCGGUGCUGUCGGCGGCGGGCGGCGCCGGGGCGCAGGAGACGUGCUCCGGUGCGGUGCCGCCGCCGCCCAAGCGCGGGGCCUGGAUGUCCAUUGCCAGCUUCGGCGGCGCCGGCGACGGCCGGACGCUCAACACUGCGGCCUUCGCGGCCGCCGUCGCCAGCAUCCAGCGCCGACGCGCGCGGGGCGGGGCGCUGCUCUACGUGCCGCCCGGGGUGUGGCUCACGGGGCCCUUCAGCCUCACCUCACACAUGACCCUCUUCCUCGCGUGCGGCGCCGUCAUCCGCGCCACGCAGGACACAUCUAGUUGGCCGCUGAUCGACCCGCUGCCCUCAUACGGGAGAGGGCGCGAGUUGCCCGGCAAGAGAUACAUCAGUUUGAUCCAUGGCAAUGGACUUCAGGAUGUUUUCAUUACAGGUGAGAAUGGCACCAUCGAUGGCCAAGGUAGUGUGUGGUGGGACAUGUGGAAGAAGGGUACAUUGCCCUUCACAAGACCCCAUCUACUCGAGCUGAUGGAUUCGUCUAAUGCUAUUGUCUCCAAUUUGGUCUUCCAGGAUUCGCCAUUUUGGAACAUCCAUCCAGUUUAUUGCAGCAAUGUGUUGAUCAGAAAUUUGACUAUACUGGCUCCACAUGACUCUCCCAACACUGAUGGAAUUGAUCCAGAUUCGAGCAGCAAUGUGUGCAUUGAGGAUUGCAACAUCUCGACGGGAGAUGACCUGAUCGCCAUCAAGAGUGGAUGGGAUGAAUAUGGCAUAGCUUGUGGUCGCCCCAGCUCGGGCAUUACCAUUAGGCGGAUCACGGGCUCCUCCCCUUUUGCUGGCUUUUCUGUCGGGAGUGAGACCUCUGGCGGUGUGGAGAAUGUCCUCGCUGAGCAUCUGAAUUUCUACAGCUCAGGGUUUGGUGUUCACAUCAAGACCAACUCCGGCAGGGGAGGGUUCAUUCGAAACAUCACCGUCUCCGACGUGGUCUUGGACAAUGUCCGUUAUGGUCUGAGGAUUGCCGGCGAUGUUGGAGGACAUCCUGAUGAGCGCUACAACCACAGUGCGCUCCCCAUCGUGGACAGCCUGACGAUAAAGAAUGUUCAAGGGCAGAACAUCAAGGAGGCUGGGCUGAUCAAGGGCAUCCCAAACUCGGCAUUCUCCCGGAUCUGUCUGUCUAACAUUAAGCUCCAUGGCAGCGCGCCAGUCCGCCCAUGGAAAUGCGCGGCUGUGAGUGGUGCUGCACUGGACGUGCAGCCCUCCCCGUGCACAGAAUUGACUAGCACGUCCGGGAUGAGCUUCUGUACAAAUUCCCUCUGA